AAAAUUUAUAGGGAGAGGUGAGCUUAAAUGACCCCAUUCUUGCCAAAAUUAGUCAUAUUCAAUCUAAAUAUGACUUUUUUAUAGCAGCAGUAUAAUAUUAUAAGCAACAUGGAAGUUUUUUUGUGUUUCUAUAUGGUAUUACAUGUUUAAACACUGUGGUGAGCAAUGUUCAUACCUUAAUUCUCCCAACAACGCUACAAAACCGAUUUCAGUAGUCUCUCGUUUUCCAUGGGGAAUGCAUUCCAAGGUCCCCAGUGGAUGCCUGAAACUGUUGAAGUACCGAACCCUAUAUAUAUUGUUUUUUCCUAUAUGAGUAUACAUAACUAUGAUAAAUUUUAAUUUAUAAAUUAGGCACAGUAAGAGAUUAAGAAUAACUAAUAAUAAAAUGUAACAAUAUAUGUAAUAAAAAGUUCUGUGAAUGUGCUCUCAAGAUAUCUGAUAACUGAGACACUACUAAGUGAGUAAUGGGCAGGUAGCAUAUACAGCAUGGAUAUACACAGAUAUCCACAGAUACCAAAGGGAUGAUUCACAGAUGGCACAAUAUUGUGUCUCGCUCAGAAUGGGGACAAUUUAAAACAUAAGAAUUGUUUAGUUCUAAAAUUUUUCAUGUAAUCUUUUCAGAUUACUGUUGACCAAGGGUAACUGAAACGACAGAAAGUGAAACCUUGGAUAAGGGCAGACUACUGUAUCAUCUCCUUUUUACACCAAAGGAAACCAAAAUUCAGAUAAAGAAGUUGUCAUUUGCUUGAGGAAAUGAAGCCCCUAGCAGCCUCUCUUAGUAAGGAGAAUGGGACUGUCUCUCUACCAUAACCUCCUCGUAUUCUUGGUCCUCCUGAUUAUCGUCUUCAUUCUCGUCAUCUUCCUCAUCGGGCUCAGGCAAAUCCUCAUCAUCAUCCAGUUCUGCUAAGAGAGUGCUGGCCCGGCAGC